GAUGAACGCGAGUCGGCGUGCCUUACACAUGCAAGUCGUAUGGAUUUUCGGAUCCAUGGCGUACGGGUGAGUAACACGUGGGUACCUGCCCCCAGGUGGGGUAUAAUGGAGGGAAACUUCCGGUAAUCCCCCAUAGGCGCAAGAAGUGCUUUGGAAAACUCUAGAGUCUAGAGUGUCUGGGGAUGGACCUGCGGCUGAUUAGCUAGUUGGUAAGGGGAAAGGCCUACCAAGGCGACGAUCAGUAGCUGGCCUGAGAGGGCGGCCGGCCACAUUGGGACUGAGACACGGCCCAGACUUCUACGGGAGGCAGCAGUGGGGAAUCUUCUGCAAUGGGCGCAAGCCUGACAGUGCAACGCCGCGUGAAGGAAGAAGGCCACAUAUGGUCGUAAACUUCUUUGCACGGGCACAGGAAUACUGACCGCCCGAGGAAGCAAGCAUCGGCUAACUCCGUGCCAGCCGCCGCCGUAACAC
rnacentral:rRNA from 1 species